CCUACGGGUCGCAGCAGUGGGGAAUAUUGCACAAUGGGCGCAAGCCUGAUGCAGCCAUGCCGCGUGUAUGAAGAAGGCCUUCGGGCUGUAAAGUACUUUCAGCGGGGAGGAAGGUAUUGAGGUUAAGAACCUCAGCAAUUGACGUUACCCGCAGAAGAAGCACCGGCUAACACCGUGCCAGCAGCCGCGGUAAUACGGAGGGUGCAAGCGUUAAUCGGAAUUACUGGGCGUAAAGCGCACGCAGGCGGUCUGUCAAGUCGGAUGUGAAAUCCCCGGGCUCAACCUGGGAACUGCAUCCGAAACUGGCAGGCUGGAGUCUUGUAGAGGGGGGUAGAAUUCCAGGUGUAGCGGUGAAAUGCGUAGAGAUCUGGAGGAAUACCGGUGGCGAAGGCGGCCCCCUGGACAAAGACUGACGCUCAGGUGCGAAAGCGUGGGGAGCAAACAGGAUUAGAUACCCCGGUAGUC
rnacentral:rRNA from 1 species